rnacentral:rRNA from 1 species
UGCCAGCAGCCGCGGUAAGACGGAGGGUGCAAACGUUGUUCGGAAUUAUUGGGCAUAAAGCGCACGUAGGCGGUUCGUUAAGUCAGUUGUGAAAUCCCUCGGCUCAACCGAGGAACUGCAGUUGAUACUGGCGAACUUGAGGACGGUAGGGGUGAGUGGAACUCCAGGUGGAGCGGUGAAAUGCGUAGAUAUCUGGAGGAACACCGGUGGCGAAAGCGGCUCACUGGACCGUAUCUGACGCUGAGGUGCGAAAGCUAGGGUAGCAAACAGGAUUAGAUA